AGUCAAGUAAUUAAGUGCAUGUGGUGGAUGCCUUGGCAGUCAGAGGCGAUGAAAGACGUGAUAGCCUGCGAAAAGCUCCGGGGAGGCGGCAAAUAUCCUUUGAUCCGGAGAUGUCUGAAUGGGGGAACCCACCUACUUUAAGGUAGGUAUUGCAACAUGAAUACAUAGUGUUGCAAGGCGAACGAGGGGAAGUGAAACAUCUCAGUACCCUUAGGAAAAGAAAUCAAUUGAGAUUCCCUCAGUAGCGGCGAGCGAAAGGGGGUCAGCCCAUUAAGUUAUGUGUGUUUUAGUGGAACGCUCUGGGAAGUGCGAACGUAGAGGGUGAUAUUCCCGUACACGAAAGGGCACACAUAAUGAUGACGAGUAGGGCGAGGCACGUGAAACCUUGUCUGAAUAUGGGGGGACCAUCCUCCAAGGCUAAAUACUCCUGACUGACCGAUAGUGAACCAGUACCGUGAGGGAAAGGCGAAAAGAACCCCUGUGAGGGGAGUGAAAUAGAUCCUGAAACCGCAUGCAUACAAGCAGUGGGAGCACCUUCGUGGUGUGACUGCGUACCUUUUGUAUAAUGGGUCAGCGACUUAUAUUCAGUAGCGAGGUUAACCGUAUAGGGGAGCCGUAGAGAAAUCGAGUCUUAAUAGGGCGUUUAGUUGCUGGGUAUAGACCCGAAACCAGGCGAUCUAUCCAUGAGCAGGUUGAAGGUUGGGUAACACUAACUGGAGGACCGAACCCACUGUCGUUGAAAAGCCAGGGGAUGACUUGUGGAUAGGGGUGAAAGGCUAAUCAAGCCUGGUGAUAGCUGGUUCUCCCCGAAAGCUAUUUAGGUAGCGCCUCGGACGAAUACCAUAGGGGGUAGAGCACUGUUUCGGCUAGGGGGUCAUCCCGACUUACCAAACCGAUGCAAACUCCGAAUACCUAUGAGUACUAUCCGGGAGACAGACUGCGGGUGCUAACGUCCGUAGUCAAGAGGAAAACAAUCCAGACCGCCAGCUAAGGCCCCAAAAUCAUAGUUAAGUGGGAAACGAUGUGGGAAGGCAUAGACAGCUAGGAGGUUGGCUUAGAAGCAGCCACCCUUUAAAGAAAGCGUAAUAGCUCACUAGUCGAGUCGGCCUGCGCGGAAGAUGUAACGGGGCUAAAACUAUGUGCCGAAGCUGCGGAAAGCUGCGGAUGUAUACUUUGUAUACGUGGUAGGGGAGCGUUCUGUAAGCCGAUGAAGGUGUGUUGAGAAGCAUGCUGGAGGUAUCAGAAGUGCGAAUGCUGACGUGAGUAACGACAAAACGGGUGAAAAACCCGUUCGCCGAAAGACCAAGGGUUCCAGUCCAACGUUAAUCGGGGCUGGGUGAGUCGACCCCUAAGGCGAGGCCGAAAGGCGUAGUCGAUGGGAAAAUGGUUAAUAUUCCAUUACUUCUGUGUAAUGCGAUGAGAGGACGGAGAAGGCUAAAUCAGCCUGGCGUUGGUUGUCCAGGUGAAAGGAUGUAGGCAUGUAUCUUAGGCAAAUCCGGGGUACUCUAUGCUGAGAUCUGAUAGCAAGCUGUACUUGUACAGCGAAGUGGUUGAUGCCAUGCUUCCAGGAAAAGUCUCUAAGCUUCAGUUACACAGGAAUCGUACCCGAAACCGACACAGGUGGUCAGGUCGAGUAGACCAAGGCGCUUGAGAGAACUCUGCUGAAGGAACUAGGCAAAAUGGUACCGUAACUUCGGGAGAAGGUACGCUGUUGUUGGUGAUGGAACUCGCUUCCUGAGCUGACGACAGCCGCAGAAACCAGGCCGCUGCAACUGUUUAUUAAAAACAUAGCACUCUGCAAACACGAAAGUGGCCGUAUAGGGUGUGAUGCCUGCCCGGUGCUGGAAGGUUAAUUGAUGGGGUUAGCGUAAGCGAAGCUCUUGAUCGAAGCCCCAGUAAACGGCGGCCGUAACUAUAACGGUCCUAAGGUAGCGAAAUUCCUUGUCGGGUAAGUUCCGACCUGCACGAAUGGCAUAAUGAUGGCGGCGCUGUCUCCAGCAGAGGCUCAGUGAAAUCGAAAUCGCUGUGAAGAUGCAGUGUACCCGCGGCUAGACGGAAAGACCCCGUGAACCUUUACUGCAGCUUGACACUGAACUUUGACCUUACUUGUGUAGGAUAGGUGGGAGGCUUUGAAGCUGGAACGCUAGUUCCAGUGGAGCCGUCCUUGAAAUACCACCCUGGUAAUGUUGAGGUUCUAACUCUGUCCCGUGAUCCGGGACGAGGACCGUGUCUGGUGGGUAGUUUGACUGGGGCGGUCUCCUCCUAAAGAGUAACGGAGGAGUACGAAGGUGCGCUCAGCGUGGUCGGAAAUCACGCGUAGAGUAUAAAGGCAAAAGCGCGCUUAACUGCGAGACCCACAAGUCGAGCAGGUACGAAAGUAGGUCUUAGUGAUCCGGUGGUUCUGUAUGGAAGGGCCAUCGCUCAACGGAUAAAAGGUACUCUGGGGAUAACAGGCUGAUACCGCCCAAGAGUUCAUAUCGACGGCGGUGUUUGGCACCUCGAUGUCGGCUCAUCUCAUCCUGGGGCUGAAGCAGGUCCCAAGGGUAUGGCUGUUCGCCAUUUAAAGAGGUACGCGAGCUGGGUUUAGAACGUCGUGAGACAGUUCGGUCCCUAUCUACCGUGGGCGCUGGAAAUUUGAGAGGAUCUGCUCCUAGUACGAGAGGACCAGAGUGGACGAACCUCUGGUGUACCGGUUGUGACGCCAGUCGCAUCGCCGGGUAGCUAUGUUCGGAAGGGAUAACCGCUGAAAGCAUCUAAGCGGGAAGCCUACCUCAAGAUAAGAUUUCCCUAGGACUUUAUGUCCUCUAAAGAGCCGUUCGAGACUAGGACGUUGAUAGGUUGGAUGUGGAAGCAUAGUGAUAUGUGAAGCUGACCAAUACUAAUUGCUCGUGAGGCUUGACUAUACAACACCC
rnacentral:rRNA from 1 species